rnacentral:rRNA from 1 species
AAACUCGAAAGGAAGUUGACGGGGCCGCACAGCGGUGGAGCAUGUGGUUUAAUUCGAAGCAACGCGAAGAACCUUACCAGGUCUUGACAUCCCUGACAACCCGAGAGAUCGGCGUUCCCCUUCGGGGGGACAGGGUGACAGGUGGUGCAUGGUUGUCGUCAGCUCGUGUCGUGAGAUGUUGGGUUAAGUCCCGCAACGAGCGCAACCCUCGACCUUAGUUGCCAGCAUUCAGUUGGGCACUCUAAGGUGACUGCCGGCUAAAAGUCGGAGGAAGGUGGGGAUGACGUCAAAUCAUCAUGCCCCUUAUGACCUGGGCUACACACGUGCUACAAUGGGCGGUACAAAGGGUCGCGAACCCGCGAGGGGGAGCCAAUCCCAAAAAGCCGCUCUCAGUUCGGAUUGCAGGCUGCAACUCGCCUGCAUGAAGCCGGAAUCGCUAGUAAUCGCGGAUCAGCAUGCCGCGGUCGAAUACGUUCCCGGGCCUU